rnacentral:rRNA from 1 species
AAGACCUUGCGCUUUUGGAGCGGCCGAUGCCUGAUUAGCUUGUUGGUAAGGUAAAAGCUUACCAAGGCUUCGAUCAGUAGCUGGUCUGAGAGGACGGCCAGCCACACUGGGACUGAGACACGGCCCAGACUCCUACGGGAGGCAGCAGUGGGGAAUUUUGGACAAUGGGGGCAACCCUGAUCCAGCCAUGCCGCGUGAGUGAAGAAGGCCUUCGGGUUGUAAAGCUCUUUCAGCCGGAACGAAACGGUUACGGUUAAUACCCGUGAUUACUGACGGUACCGGAAGAAGAAGCACCGGCUAACUACGUGCCGGCAGCCGCGGUAAUACGUAGGGUGCGAGCGUUAAUCGGAAUUACUGGGCGUAAAGGGUGCGCAGGCGGUUUUGUAAGUCAGAUGUGAAAUCCCCGGGCUUAACCUGGGAACU